rnacentral:rRNA from 1 species
AUUGAACGCUGGCGGCAGGCCUAACACAUGCAAGUCGAACGGUAGCACAGAGAGCUUGCUCUCGGGUGACGAGUGGCGGACGGGUGAGUAAUGUCUGGGAAACUGCCCGAUGGAGGGGGAUAACUACUGGAAACGGUAGCUAAUACCGCAUAACGUCGCAAGACCAAAGUGGGGGACCUUCGGGCCUCACACCAUCGGAUGUGCCCAGAUGGGAUUAGCUAGUAGGUGGGGUAAUGGCUCACCUAGGCGACGAGCCCUAGCUGGUCUGAGAGGAUGACCAGCCACACUAGAACUGAGACACGGUCCAGACUCCUACGGGAGGCAGCAGUGGGGAAUAUUGCACACAGGGCGAAAGCCUGAUGCAGCCAUGCAGCGUGUAUGAAGAAGGCCUUCGGGUCGUAAAGUACUUUCAGCGGGGAGGAAGGCGGUGAAGUUAAUAGCUUCACCGAUUGACGUUACCCGCAGAAGAAGCACCGGCUAACUCCGUGCCAGCAGCCGCAGUAA